CUUCAGCGAGCCCAGCCAGAGCGGGCGGUCGGCGGGCCGGUGCUGGCCGUAGGUGGCGAGCAGGGCCUGGGCUUC
rnacentral:antisense_RNA from 1 species